UGUAAUAAACAUGUCUACACCUAAAUGGGCAAAAAACAUCAUCAGCUGCUUUGAAGACGACAGACAUGGCUGCCUUCAUGGCUAUGAGGUCAAAACACGUGCAGGAAGAACAUUUUUCCUCAGACCAAAUACCGAGUGGCUUAAAAGGAAAAUAAAUGAGGGAACUCUGCUGUGUCCUCCAGUGAUUUCUAAAUGAAGAUGAUGGAAACGAUGAAACAAAACCUGUAGGAAACAAGACCCUAGUAUUUUUUGCUUG